UGGGGAAUAUUGCACAAUGGAGGGAACUCUGAUGCAGCGACGCCGCGUGAACGAAGAAGGCUUUCGAGUCGUAAAGUUCUUUUAUAUGGGAAGAUAAUGACGGUACCAUAAGAAAAAGCCCCGGCUAACUACGUGCCAGCAGCCGCGGUAAUACGUAGGGGGCUAGCGUUGUCCGGAAUCACUGGGCGUAAAGGGUUCGCAGGCGGAAAUGCAAGUCAGGUGUAAAAGGCAGUAGCUUAACUACUGUAAGCAUUGGAAACUGCAUAUCUUGAGAAGAGUAGAGGUAAGUGGAAUUUUUAGUGUAGCGGUGAAAUGCGUAGAUAUUAAAAAGAAUACCGGUGGCGAAGGCGACUUACUGGGCUCAUUCUGACGCUGAGGAACGAAAGCGUGGGUAGCAAACAGG
rnacentral:rRNA from 2 species